GAGAAAAGUGGGGCUCAGAAAGGUUAAGUAAUUUGCCAAGCUACAGGUUGAAGGGCCUGGAUUCAAAGCUAGGUUUGUGUGGGCUCAAAGCUCAUGCCAGGCUUCCUCCUCAAGUCACAAGAGAGGAAAAGGUGGUUCUUUGUGUGUGUUCUGAGCUCUGGAUGUGGAAAACAGGCAGAAAAAUGGACCUGCAAACCAGGAGUGGUCCCAAGGGCUGGUUCACUGGUGAAGGUAGCCUCUCAUAUUCAUAUAAAAGCCUGGUUGCCACUGGAGGAAUUCCCAACCCUUGGAAGAUGCCACUGGUCCCCGUGGGCUCUCACAGGAAAGAGGAACCUGGUCUAAGGCCACCAGACCUGACCAAGCCAUGCUGGAGCGGAGAGGGGCCGGCAGAGGGCGCUGUGCAGACAUGGUGGGCUCAUGUCUUACCAUAGAACUCUGCCUGGCGAAGGCCGAGCAAGUGCUGAGGGCCAGGGAUGGAGAGGUCAUUUUGAGCUAAAUUUGUUUGUAACACAGCAUACUUUUCAGAAAGCUUUGGAGAGUGAAUUUUGCCUCUUGCAAAAUCACUAAUUGUUGUGGGUUUCUUUCUCUUACAUAAGACUUCCUUUUGCCGCAAUGGAUGUCGAGGAGACACUGUAGAAAAGCGGGUAGAAUAAAGUGGGCAUGCCCCAUCCCAGAUCUGCCUCUUGUUAGAGGUGUGGGUUUUCUCUGAAACUCGUUUGUGUUUUUGGAUGCUGGAGAUCGAAGGCUUUAUCUUACAGGUUUGUUCUGAAGACUAAAGAAAAGACACAGAAGAGAGGCGUACCCCAAAUUCUGAGUUCACGUAGCCCAUGUGGAGAGUGGAAUCUGCCAUCAAGAGGAGCCCAGAACCCUUGGGCUGAGGAGGGUCAUGUUGCCUUCGGGGGCUCUGCCUCUAAUUUAUUGGUGCAUUCUCCUAUAGACUGAACUGUGUCAGCCCCCAAAUUCAUAUGUUCAAGCCCUAACCCCAAUGUGACUGUAUUUGGAGAUAGGACCUUAAGGAGGUAAUUAAGAUCAUAAGGGUGGGGCCCUAACGUGAUAUGACUGGUGUCCUUAUAAGAAGAGGAAGAGAUACAAGAGGCUCUCUCCCUCUCUGUGCAAACAGAGAAAAGGCCAUGUGAGGACAUAGUGAGAAG